GACAGAGGUGCCGAGCGUUAGGCGGAAUCACUGGGCUUAAAGCGUGUGUAGGCGGACCGUUAAGUGUCUUGUGAAAUCCCCCGGCUCAACCGGGGAACGGCUGGGCAUACUGGCGGUCUUGAGAGACCUAGGGGCGAGCGGAACAGGCGGUGGAGCGGUGAAAUGCGUAGAUAUCGCCUGGAACGCCGACGGUGAAAACAGCUCGCUGGGGGUCUUCUGACGCUGAGGUACGAAAGCUAGGGGAGCGAACGGG
rnacentral:rRNA from 1 species